AUGGCCUGUGUCCAAAUGAAGAUCCACUGGGGCAAGAAGAAAGCCAGGCUGGAAGGAAGAGAAGCAGGCUUCGAGCUCCAACAAUUCCUGCCCAGUGAGGCUCAGGGGCACCAGAGACAAGAGCCCAAAGGCCAUUCUUCGAAGCUGAGCAAGAUUGCAGGGUUUCUGAGAGUACUGCGCAGAAAUAAAGGAGACAAAAAUGUCACUGAUCCACCAGAAACUUCCAAAGGUUUCUCCGAGUUGGUCCAGGAUGGGCAGUUCCUGGAGGCCUACCUGAGCAUCCCGACAUUGGUAAAGCAAGGGCAAGACUGCAAAUCCCUGUACCAGGUUGUGGCCCAGAGCAUGUGGCAGGUGCUCCAGCAGGCUCUGGAGGGCACUGAGUACUGCCCGGAGCUGGAGCUAAAGAUCCAGGCUGUGCUGGGCACCAUAGAGUGGACACAGGAGAAGCACCAGAGCUGGGAGGAUGGUGACCUCCAGGAUGGUGACUUCCAGGAUGGUGACCUCCAGGAUGGCGGAGUUGCCGCCUGGGGCAAUCAGCUGGAGAAGCUGCUGAGAAGUGAUGUGGAGGCCAGAGUGCCUGCCCUGGGCCCUGGCGACCAGGUGGACCUGUACCUGGAGAAGCUAGAAGAGGCUGUGACACAGGGCCUGAGGUCCCCGCGGGCCAGCCUGUUGGGGCCCCAGCUCUGGAAGGUCUACAGGACACACUUCCAGGAGGUCCUCCUCAACCGCCUCUGGGAGCUCAUGCACUCCUUUGGCACCAACAGGGAAAGCUGUCACAUGCUGUACUCCUGGGCCAAGAUAACGUUGUUUGGGGAGCCAGGGAAAGCUUGGAGGAACAACUAG
rnacentral:lncRNA from 12 species